GGCUGCGCAUGCGCAGCUCUUCUUCACUGCCUUGGCUGUGUACCCGAUAAGGUUUGGAGGUGGUCGCAGUGUCAAUCGUAGGCUUCUGGCGGGCCUGCCGUUUACUGACGCUGUGAUUGGAUACAGCUCGGUUUGCGUCUGUGGGACUCGGUGUCCUCGUCCGUGGAAUGGGUCAACCACACUGGAUUUCCUGUGCUUCUUGCAUGAAUAGCUGUGCUAAGGCAACGUGAAGGCUGCUGAUGGAAAACAUGAAGCCAGUGCCUGUCAGGAUACCUGCUGCACACCAAACGGUCCAGAUUUACGAGUGGGCUGGUUCUCCUGGCAGUGCGUGAGCCACUGCGAACCUGUGACCCAGCCUUGAGAACUUAGGCAGAACCUGCCCGCAUUCCCAGCAUCAGUUUCCUGUUACAGUGGUUUUGAGGUGAUGACGUCCAGGCCUGAGGCCAGGCUGGGGAGAAGGAGAAAGGUUGUAUUUUCAAAAGGACAUGGUGGAGCACUCUUUCACAUGAGCACAGCUGGUCUUCGUGGGUGUCCCCCCCAUCAAGAAAGAAAAAAUCAUCUCUAAGGCCAAAGAUGUCUUGAUCCUCUUUAAAGGUCCUUGUUCAGCUCACAAAAACCCUGGGAUUUUUCAGUCUAAGCCGGUGAGCUCCAGGGUCAGGGUCAGGCCCCAGGGCAUCCCCAUUCAUCCUCUGCUGCCUCCAGCUCUCACCACCCUCUACUUACCCCCUACCUCCAAGUGUCUCCUUGAGAAACAGUAUGGCUUGGAAAACGGACUCCCACUCCUUCCUACUCCACCAUCUUUGUCAAAACAAUAAACUUUUAUUGAGUAUUACUUUUUACUUUUAUAGCAUAAUUCUUAGUGGUCAGAAUAAACGGUCAUUGUAAUGAGUCAAACAACGUACAUGUUUAAGGAAAAAGUUGAUUAACAGUUUCAUGUUUAUCCUUUUUUCCUUUCUCU